rnacentral:lncRNA from 1 species
AGGACAGUUGCAUAUUUUAGUAUGUAGGUCUAACUGACUAAAUAUUUAAAACGUUUACAGGCAGUUCCUUCAGGAAAAAUUGCUUCCCCUGUCUCCAGAAAGGAGCCUCCGUUAACUCCUGUUCCUCUUAAACGUGCUGAAUUUGCUGGCAAACCUGUACAGGUCGAGAGUACAGAAGAAGAGCAGGAGUCAGGGGCAAUGGAGUUUGAAGAUGGUGACUUUGAUGAGCCCAUGGAAACUGAAGAGGUGGACCUGGAGCCUAUGGCUGCCAAGGCUUGGGACCAAGAGAGUGAGCCUGCAGAGGAAGUGAAACAAGAGGCGGAUUCUGGGAAAGGGACCAUGUCCUACUUAGGAAGUUUUCUCCCAGAUGUCUCUUGUUGGGACGUUGAUCAAGAAGGUGAUAGCAGUUUCUCAGUGCAAGAAGUUCAAGUGGAUUCCAGUCAACUCCCAUUGGUAAAAGGGGCAGAUGAGGAACAAGUAUUCCACUUUUAUUGGUUGGAUGCUUAUGAAGAUCAGUACAACCAACCAGGUGUGGUAUUUCUGUUUGGCAAAGUUUGGAUUGAGUCAGCUGAGACCCAUGUGAGCUGUUGUGUCAUGGUGAAA